AUUGAACGCUGGCGGCAGGCCUAACACAUGCAAGUCGAACGAGUGGCGGACGGGUGAGUAAUGUCUGGGACACUGCCCGAUGGAGGGGGAUAACUACUGGAAACGGUAGCUAAUACCGCAUACCAUCGGAUGUGCCCAGAUGGGAUUAGCUAGUAGGUGGGGUAAUGGCUCACCUAGGCGACGAUCCCUAGCUGGUCUGAGAGGAUGACCAGCAAAACUGGAACUGAGACACGGUCCAAAGUCCUACGGGAGGCAGCAGUGGGGAAUAUUGGACAAUGGGGGAAAGCCUGAUGCAGAAAUGCGGCGUGUAUGAAGAAGGCCUUGGGGUGGUAAAGUACUUUCAGAGAGGAGGCGUUACUCGAAGAAGAAGCAACGGCUAACUCCGUGCCAGCAGCCGCGGUAAUUC
rnacentral:rRNA from 1 species